rnacentral:rRNA from 1 species
UGAUGUGAAAGCCCACGGCUCAACCGUGGAGGGUCAUUGGAAACUGGAAAACUUGAGUGCAGAAGAGGAAAGUGGAAUUCCAUGUGUAGCGGUGAAAUGCGCAGAGAUAUGGAGGAACACCAGUGGCGAAGGCGACUUUCUGGUCUGUAACUGACGCUGAGGAGCGAAAGCAUGGGUAGCGAACAGGAUUAGAUACCCUGGUAGUCCAUGCCGUAAACGGUGGGCGCUAGGUGUGAGUCCCUUCCACGGGGUUCGUGCCGUAGCUAACGCAUUAAGCGCCCCGCCUGGGGAGUACGGCCGCAAGGCUAAAACUCAAAGGAAUUGACGGGGGCCCGCACAAGCGGCGGAGCAUGUGGAUUAAUUCGAUGCAACGCGAAGAACCUUACCUGGGCUUGACAUACACCAGAUCGUCGUAGAGAUACGGUUUCCCUUUGUGGUUGGUGUACAGGUGGUGCAUGGUUGUCGUCAGCUCGUGUCGUGAGAUGUUGGGUUAAGUCCCGCAACGAGCGCAACCCUUGUCUUAUGUUGCCAGCAAUUUGGUUGGGGACUCGUGAGAGACUGCCGGGGUUAACUCGGAGGAAGGUGGGGAUGACGUCAAAUCAUCAUGCCCCUUAUGUCCAGGGCUUCACACAUGCUACAAUGGUCGGUACAACGCGUUUGCGAGCCUGUGAGGGUGAGCUAAUCGCUGAAAGCCGGUCGUAGUUCGGAUUGGGGUCUGCAAC